UGCAUGAGAGGUUUUUUGGUUUCUUUACAUUGCUAAUUAUUAGCAGAAAGGGUAUUAAUUCAGUAAUACUGUAAAUAUUACAAUUGUGUUAAACUAAUUCAGAAGACACUACUUAUCACCGAAGUUGGAGGAAGCAUCUCAGAAGUGACCAUCUCACUUUCUAGAAAUAGGGAGUGAAGUCACCUCGGGUAUAAUAUUAUCCAUCCCGGGCACAGCUUUCCGCCCACUGCAGUCCUAGGGCACAUUGGACUAAUCGUGUCUCCCUCCCCCAAAUCUGAACAGUUGCGAGCUCAUAUUCAUUUACAAGGUGAGUGCUUCGGGCUUCUUAGUUCUGCGAAUAAGAACCACUGUACCAAGGGGUGAACGUGAGCAGUGUCAACAGCAGAGCGGUGGAAAAAUUUAUCUGUAUCUUUAUGCCUAAUACCAGCCCCACAUUCUUGAAGUUCCAAAAGAGUAAAAUUUAUAUUAAGUAGAAACUUGAAGAAAAGGGCAGGAAGAGAGAGCCAAACAGCAUAAUGAAAUUCAAGGCCCUGCUUGGAAAAAAAAUGCAGCCUAGACUGACUAGGCA
rnacentral:lncRNA from 1 species